AUACUAUAUCAUAUAUUUUAAGAAACAAACAAAACAAACAUGGUACCAUAAACAAUACCAUAUUAGGAGCUAAUAUGUUCAGCCAAAAAGCACUCUCUUUCAGAUCCAAAAGGUUUCUAUAUUAAACAAAUUUUGUGGCAACAGAUUUUUGAGGUUUUUAAAAUUCUUUUUAACUUUUUGACAAGUUUUUUUUUUUUUUUUUUUAAUAACUGUGGUGUCUGGGCAACUUGCGCGUACCUCGACUAAUUCCACAGGACACCUGCCACGGGAGACUUUUUGACAAGUUGUAAAGUAAACUUGUUUGACUUGUCUGAAUAACUUGAGGAAGCUAAUAGUUAUCAGAAAUCUAAGUAUAAGGUCCUAUUCAUUCACUUACGCUAAGGUCAAUUUAAAAAUCAGGGUAAUACUGCAACAAACUUGUCAUUGCUAUCACAAAUGACUACUGAACAAAAGAAAUAAGCACAAUGCAGUGCAUUGGGACAAAGGAAAGAAAGAUGUUAAUGCAGUAUGAUAGAUGCACUAGCGGACAAAUAGUGGCGUUAAUAUCAAGGCGGUUUUGAAAAACCGCCACAAAAUGACAUAUAUUACGGUGCUUUCAGGAACGCCAUUAAAAAUAUUUAUAUACUGGCGGUUGCGGGGAUUAAUCGCUGCUUUAUUAAAUUCUUUUUGCAACACUCAGCAUUAAGAAUCUCAGCAAGCAAAAUGAGUGCUUGUUACUGAAAUGGUUAUGGAGGUUUGGAGCAGAAGAUAUGGCGAUUUGGAGAAGACAUCACUGAAAAAUACAGCUUAGCUAACCAGUGGAUAACUGAGGAGGCUAGGGGUACCUUUGGGUGUAGAGUCUGGAAGACUAUUAGAAGAUUGUGAAGUCAGUUCAAUGUCAACACUUCCAUCAAAAUGGGAGACGGACUUGGAACUAAUUUUUGGAAUGAAAUAUGGAUCUGUGGGGAGAUAACCUGAGAAUAUUUUUUCCUCAUCUGUACACCCUAAGCCUGCAAAAGAAUGUCACUGUAUCACAGGUUUGGAGUCAACAAGGCUGGAACUUAAUUUUUAGAAGAGCACUGAACGACUGGAAAGUGGAUAGCAUUGCAAGUCUGGUACAGUUGUUGAGCUCUUACGCAGGGUACUCAAUGAUCCAGACAAGUUAAUCUGGAAUUUGUACAACAAAGGUACUUUUACAGUAAAAUCAUGUUACUCAUGUUACUGGAAGAUGAACAACAGACAAUCACAGGUUCUAAACUAGCCUUGGAAAUUAAUUUGAAAAGGUUAGAAGUCCCCUUAAAGUCUCUUGUUUUGCCUGGCUAGUGAUCAGAAAGCUUGCUUAACAGACGAGGUCCUAUGAAGAAGAGGUCUACAGAUCUGCUCAAGGUGUUUUUUGUGUAAUGAGGAUGCAGAAGAAAAUAACCAUCUGUUCCUGCAUUGCGAAAUAGCUGCAAAACUUUGGAACAUGUUUUUUUAUAUUCUUGAUGUGGAUUGGGUAAUGCCUAGAACUACUGGGGAGCUGAUACACAACUGGAAAGGAAUUGGGAGAAGAGGGAAAAGUGAAGAAUGGUGGCAGAGCAGCCCAGUUUGCAUCUGGUGGACUCUUUGGAAGGAAAGAAAUGAUAGAUGUUUUGAAGGCAAAUGCAGUAACACUCAAGAGAUUAAGAUGAAAUGCCUUAGUUUUUUUUGUACUUCUGGUGUAAACAUGAUUUGGUGGGGGAGGUAGUAGCUUUAGUUGACAUCAUACGAGAAUUGUAAAUCUUUUUAUUUUGUUCUGGAAGAUGAUCCACAUUUUUUGUGGCUUAUAAGAUCCCACCUCAUCCACUUUUCUGGGGUGAUUUUGCGAAUAUAAAGUUACCUUUGUAUUCACGGGUAAAGUUGUUGUCAUGUGACCAGGAGGUCACGGGUUCGAGCAUUGGAAACAACAUGUGGCAGAAAUGCAAGGUAAGGCUGCGUACAAUACAUCCUUGCGGUGGGUCCUUCCCUGGACACGGCGCAUAAAGGUAGCUUUAGUGCACCGUGCUGCCCUUUUAAAGUUACCUUUGUAUCAAAAAAAAAUCCUGAGCUUUUUCGUCACUAUAUUUAGAAUUUCCCUCCCACAAAUUGGAUCUCCCUCCACAAAAUGGAACCCAACCUGCAUCUCUCUCUCUCUCUCCACAUCAAUUGACACACUUGAGCUGCUAUAUCGAUUUGAAAAGCUUUCUCCACGACCAUUACCUGAGAGGCUUGCUAGGAAACUGCAUUUUAGACUGGUAUUUUUUCCUUGAGGAAUUAUUACUAGAAGGAAACAACUAUGGGGGCUACACGCUUUUUGUGUUUGUUCUUGUUCUGCAGCUUCUAUACUAUAGAAGAAGAGGAUAUCAUCCAGUCAGUACAAACAGGAAAGAACUUAUAUGAAUUCAUUGAUUAAAACUACACGAAGACAUGGGCAAGAGAAGCAAAAAAGUUCAACAAAUAUCUGAAAUGACUUCUGGAACUUUUAACUGUCUUCAUGUUAUGCAGGGAACAGAUAAUUAUAGCUGAGAGAAAUGACUAAUGGAAAAAGAGAAUUCUCAAAGAUGUGGUAUCGAUGUUGAGAAGGCAAGCUCAAAGCAGAUCACGUAUGGUGCUCAUUCAUAAAUGUUUCUAAGGACUGCUAUGGUUCUUUUUGUUGAAUGUUUUUUUUUUUGGAAUUUCUACUCAUUUAAUGAUGCAACAUUGAAGUUCUUAUACUUCUUUAAUAAAAUUUUAUUACAUAA